GUCAGCUCGUGUUGUGAAAUGUUGGGUUAAGUCCCGCAACGAGCGCAACCCUUAUCCUUUGUUGCCAGCGGUCCGGCCGGGAACUCAAAGGAGACUGCCAGUGAUAAACUGGAGGAAGGUGGGGAUGACGUCAAGUCAUCAUGGCCCUUACGACCAGGGCUACACACGUGCUACAAUGGCGCAUACAAAGAGAAGCGACCUCGCGAGAGCAAGCGGACCUCAUAAAGUGCGUCGUAGUCCGGAUUGGAGUCUGCAACUCGACUCCAUGAAGUCGGAAUCGCUAGUAAUCGUGGAUCAGAAUGCCACGGUGAAUACGUUCCCGGGCCUUGUACACACCGCCCGUCACACCAUGGGAGUGGGUUGCAAAAGAAGUAGGUAGCUUAACCUUCGGGAGGGCGCUUACCACUUUGUGAUUCAUGACUGGGGUGAAGUCGUAACAAGGUAACCGUAGGGGAACCUGCGGUUGG
rnacentral:rRNA from 1 species